GCCCAGCUGGCUCAGUCAGUGGAGCAUGCAACUCUCAAUCUCAGGGUUAUGAGUUCGAGCCCCAUGUUGGGUA
rfam:Canis lupus familiaris chromosome 27, whole genome shotgun sequence.